rnacentral:rRNA from 1 species
UACGUAGGGUGCGAGCGUUAAUCGGAAUUACUGGGCGUAAAGCGUGCGCAGGCGGCGCGUUAAGACAGGUGUGAAAGCCCCGAGCUUAACUCGGGAAUUGCGCUUGUGACUGGCGUGCUGGAGUGUGGCAGAGGGAGGUGGAAUUCCACGUGUAGCAGUGAAAUGCGUAGAUAUUCGGAAGAACACCAGUGGCGAAGGCGGCUCACUGGCCCGGUACUGACGCUGAGAUACGAAAGCGUGGGGAGCAAACAGG